GUACCGUGAGGGAAAGAUGAAAAGAACUUUGAAAAGAGAGUUAAACAGUACGUGAAAUUGUUGAAAGGGAAACGAUUGAAGUCAGUCAUACCAACGGGAAAUCAACCUCUUGAGCUCGGUCUCGUGGGUUUUGAAGAGUUUCAAAGCCUUCGGAUUCGCGGGAUUGGGAUCUCCUGGUGUACUUUUUCGUACGGUUAGUCAACAUCGGUUUUGAAUGUCAUAAAAUGACUGGAGGAAUGUAGCUUCGAUCUCGUAUUGAAGUGUUAUAGCCUUUGGUAGAUGUGAUGUUUGAGACCGAGGAUUGCAACGGAUACCCUUCAGGGCUAUUCGUCUGAUCUCUGAUACGUUGCCUUGAUGUUGAAAGCUCGCUUAUGAUGUUAGGGUAUUACGGUCAAAAGGUUAGAACGAAUUACAUUCGUUAAGG
rnacentral:rRNA from 1 species